rnacentral:rRNA from 1 species
GGCGGACGGGUGAGGAAUACAUCGGAAUCUACUCUGUCGUGGGGGAUAACGUAGGGAAACUUACGCUAAUACCGCAUACGACCUACGGGUGAAAGCAGGGGAUCUUCGGACCUUGCGCGAUUGAAUGAGCCGAUGUCGGAUUAGCUAGUUGGCGGGGUAAAGGCCCACCAAGGCGACGAUCCGUAGCUGGUCUGAGAGGAUGAUCAGCCACACUGGAACUGAGACACGGUCCAGACUCCUACGGGAGGCAGCAGAC